GACGAACGCUGGCGGCGUGCUUAACACAUGCAAGUCGAACGGAAAGGCCCUGCUUUUGUGGGGUGCUCGAGUGGCGAACGGGUGUGUAACACGUGAGUAACCUGCCCUUGACUUUAGGAUAACUUCAGGUAACUGGGGCUACUACCGGAUAGGAGCUCCUGCUGCAUGGUGGGGGUUGGAAAGUUUCGGCGGUUGGGGAUGGACUCGCGGCUUAUCAGCUUGUUGGUGGGGUAGUGGAUUACCAAGGCUUUGACGGGUAGCCGGCCUGAGAGGGUGACCGGACACAUUGGGACUGAGAUACGGCCCAGACUCCUACGGGAGGCAGCAGUGGGGAAUAGUGCACAAUGGGCGGAAGCCUGAUGCAGCAACGCCGCGUGCGGGAUGACGGCCUGCGGGUUGUAAACCGCUGUCGCCUGUGACGAAGAGUGAGUGACGGUAAUGGGUAAAGAAGCACCGGCUAACUACGUG
rnacentral:rRNA from 1 species